GGAGCACCUCCCCACCUUGGCUCCCUUCUCCUGCGGGUGCCUCCCGGUCCCUCCUCCCCUGCCCGAGGUCUGAAGGUGGGAAUCUCCAACGCCCCUCUUUUACCAGGGAAGGAUUUGGCUCCUCUAGUCACAGGUGCAGGUGCAGAACCCACCUAUUCAAACGGUCUAGAGACAGAGUGUGGGGCUGCGGCCCAGCCCUUGUUGAAAAUUUACAUCACUUGCAAAGCUCCAUUGUGAAAUACCGAAACAUCGAUGUGGAAGAAAGGAAGACAAAGCCCAGACUCUGAAUCAACUGAUGUGUGACUCCUUCAAUGGACGGAGGCCAGAAGGCAAGAAGACUCUGGAUAAGCAUGGGGAACACUGGCUCCUGGUCAGAGCCGCCCUGGGCAGAGGGCACAUCCAGUUGAUGAGGAUACCGCAGGGGGGCUGGGAGCCCAUGGGGCAGCAGCCGUGAGGGGCACGGACGCCUAGAAAGGUCGAUGGCUGCAGUGACCUAGCUGGUCCCCAGGGCACUGAGAUUCAUCUGAACAGCAGGUCCCAGUCAGUUGCUGACCAGGGGCCCGAAUCCUGGGCAUCCGCUCUGGGCACACCUCCUUGGCAUAUGUGGGGCAUCUUAUUUACCCAAAGCAGGUGUGUUCAUUUAGGACCACCUGCAUGUUCACAGGAGCACUCCCUGCAGGUGGCCUUUGGUAUUUCACCUGGAUAUCCGUCUGCUUGAGCUGCUGUAACCAAAUACCACAGACAGGCUGGGUGGCUUCAGCAACCGAGAUCUAUUUCUCACCAUUCUGGAGGCUGGAAGUCUGAGGUUGAGAUGCCGGUGGCUUCUGUUUCUGAUGAGGGCCCAUUUCCCGGCCUGCAGACGGCCACCUUCUCACUGUGUCCUCACAUGACAGAGAGGGACAGCCUGAGUCUCUCUUCCUCUUCUUAGAAGGACACUAGUCCCCUCGUGGGGGCCCCACCCUCAUGACUGCCCCUAAACCUAAUCACCCCCCAAAGGCCCCAUCUCCAAACAUCAUCACACUGGGGAUCAGGGCUUCCACAUGAACCCUGGGAGGCAGAGGCGGGCUCUGUGUUUUAGCCAGCCCCUGGGGGGCAGAAGAGGAGACCCUGACAGUGUGGACUCCCUGGGGUGGGAAGGAGUGGGCUGAGGACGGUGAAUGUAGACGGACUUCUGGGAAGUCUCUAAGAGAAAAGAAAGUGAGAGAUUGAUGGGGGUGGGCGCCGUGGGAUCAGGGGAAGGGUUUUGGGGUUUUGGUCUCAUAUUUGUUUUGAGGCAGGGAUGUGCGAGCUAGGCCUGGGGAGA
rnacentral:lncRNA from 1 species